rnacentral:rRNA from 1 species
UACAGAGGUCUCAAGCGUUGUUCGGAUUCAUUGGGCGUAAAGGGUGCGUAGGCGGCGCGGUAAGUCGGGUGUGAAAACUCGAGGCUUAACCUCGAGACGUCGAUGGAAACCGUAUGGCUAGAGUCCGGAAGAGGAGAGUGGAAUUCCUGGUGUAGCGGUGAAAUGCGCAGAUAUCAGGAAGAACACCCGUGGCGAAGGCGGCUCUCUGGUACGUGACUGACGCUGAGACGCGAAAGCGUGGGGAGCGAACAGG